AAACAUGAGGUACAGGAAAUCUUAUCUUUUCUCUAGAAUCUGAUGCCCUUAGCAGUGGCUCCUCUGCCUUGCAGGCGCAUCAAACCAGUGUCUAAAACCUUGACCUUACAGACUUGUGCCUUGAAGUGCACUGGAGUACAAACUGGUUGAGGCAUUGCAUUGAGAGAGUCUGAGUCAUGCUUCCAGCUGCAGCCUGUGCAUUCAGUGGCUGAGAAGGCCUAAAACAGAACGAUUUGGAGGUCAGAGACCGAGGAAUGAUGAUUUAAAAAAAAACUGCAGACAGUAAAGGAAGGGAUUGGUGUCUCAAGUAGGAGCAGAAACUCCAAAGAAGUCUUUGAGGCAGGGGUCAAGGCUAGCACACAUGGGCAGCCUGGAGCCAGGGCUGGGGACCCUUGUAGAGCUAAAGGGGCUAGCAUAACCUCAGAUCCGCAUGUGUGCCACAGCUGCAAGAAGGAUCAUUUUGGUGACCACAGCCCUAGGCCUGGGGCUUCAUGCCUAUGAGAUGUACUGAGCCACUCAGUAGUGCGUUCAGUUUGUUUGACAGCAGUGCCCUGGGGUAAGGAGGACAGGGGUUCAUGUUCAGGGACAGACCCAGUGCUCACCAAACUCAGUAUAAUAAGGCCACUGACAAAAGCUAAUGAAGGUCUUGUCAGCUGCUCUUGUCAUAAAUGCUUCACACGCACUUUUGGAGGCAGAAGUCAGCCCCUGCUAUCACCAACGACAGCAGUGUGCUGACGGAACACUGACAUGAGGCCAGAGAUAGCCCUGUGGGGACAGCCGAGGGCUCCUUCACAGUGUCCUCAGAUGACAUGUGGCAGGCAGAGCUUCCCCACGUCACCCCUUCUCCACCACUCAACUCCUGAGGGACAGCGUCACCUCAAAGCUCACUGGGAUGUGAGAGGCGGGAGAGGCCUCCGACUCCAUGGCUGACUCCAGGAAGCUGGUGCCCAGCAGACUCAGGCCCCUCAGCCCCAUCAGUGCUGCCAGGAGAGACAGCAACGAAUAUGGUAAAUGUAACUUCAUGAGGAACAGAGAAAAGCGUAACUGGCUUUAGGUAUCAAAUUCUAGAGAAAAGUGCCCAGGGAGAUAACCUGAACUUGGCUGGAGGCAACUGAGCAGAACAAGGAAGGCAAGUCUCUAUAGCCAACUGUGUGUGACCCACCUCUGCAGACCUCUCUUCAUAAAUCUCUGGAUCAUUUUUAUGGGAAUCAGAUGGAACCAGCAAGAUUGCUACACAGUCCUACCUUUUUCCUGACUGCGUGCUUCAGACACGUACACGAAGAACCAGAGAUCAGGAAGCAGCAAUCCUGCUCUGCCCUGUGCUUCCCUUCCUGCACACUCCCUUCCUCUCAGCUGCCUAGAAGCAGACUUAACUUCACAGAGGGAAAGCACAGCAUGAAGUGGUAUGUGAAAGGGCAGCUCCAAAUGUCUGCAUGGACAAAGCCUCAAAGCUCAGUCUGCAUGAAGAAACUCGGGACUAUGUUAAAAUGCAAUCUGUAGCCUCUUUGUGCCUGAAAGGUAGUGUAGAAUAAGACGCAGUGCAGUACAUGGAAAGAGGCAGGUGCCUCUGAAGAACCACCUGUCCCCUGAAAACAUAUUGUGUCACAUGUUGUUUCACAGUCACUGUCUGAAAAACCAUGAUUUUGUUAUGAAGUGAGAACUUCUCUGCCACUCUACUACCCUCCUAGACUCUCACUUUUCUGCUCCACAGACCUGUGGUGAUGGUGGUCUCUGCUCCCUGGUAGCCCCACACCUGCAGAGGGAACAGGUGGAAUCUCUCCUAGAGAAGUGGGCAGCUACCAGAAGCCAGUUUAAGGCUGAGGAAACCAUGAGCCCAGGCACAUCCCUGUACCCUGCACACAGGCUUCAUGUGCUAGACAGUUAUACAGAAAAUAGGAGCACAAGUCAGAAGAGAAGAUUUGUAAAAUGAUGCAUGUUUUAGGACAUCCAGCAAUGGGUUUUUGAGCCUUUGAUACAGCUUUACAUCCCUUUUGGUAGACUUUGCAGUUACACUCCAGAAAGAGUCAAAUGCCCAGGUGUGCCCUUGUGCUCACCAGCCCCUGCCCCUAAUUUGGAGGAGAUUCCUGUUGUACACGGGCUGGUCUAAAGCCCUCUCAGACCAUCAGGGUGGAGGUUGGUCACAAGUGUGACCACAAGUGAGCUCCCAAGGCUCAGUCUUGGGCGUGGUGCUCUUCAAUAUCUUCAUCAAUGACAUAGUCGAUGGCAUCGAGUGCACCCUCAGCA